AGUGAUCGCUGGCGGUAGGCCUAACACAUGCAAGUCGAACGGCAGCACAGUAAGAGCUUGCUCUUACGGGUGGCGAGUGGCGGACGGGUGAGGAAUACAUCGGAAUCUACUUUUUCGUGGGGGAUAACGUAGGGAAACUUACGCUAAUACCGCAUACGACCUACGGGUGAAAGCAGGGGAUCUUCGGACCUUGCGCGAUUGAAUGAGCCGAUGUCGGAUUAGCUAGUUGGCGGGGUAAAGGCCCACCAAGGCGACGAUGCGUAGCUGGUCUGAGAGGAUGAUCAGACACACUGGAACUGAGACACGGUCCAGACUCCUACGGGAGGCAGCAGUGGGGAAUAUUGGACAAUGGGCGCAAGCCUGAUCCAGCCAUACCGCGUGGGUGAAGAAGGCCUUCGGGUUGUAAAGCCCUUUUGUUGGGAAAGAAAAGCAGCAGGUUAAUACCCCGCUGUUCUGACGGUACCCAAAGAAUAAGCACCGGCUAACUUCGU
rnacentral:rRNA from 1 species